rnacentral:lncRNA from 1 species
UCUCUCUCUCUCUCUCUCUCUCUCUCUCUCUCUCUCUCUCUCUCUCUCUCUCUCUCUCUCUCUCUCUCUCUCUCUCUCUCUCUCUCUCUCUCUCUCUCUCUCUCUCUCUCUCUCUCUCUGUGUGUACCACCGUUUAGCUCGUCACCCUCUCCUCUACCUCCUCCUAAUCACUGAUUGACAUGCAUCCACAGUCUUCUCAAGAUUGAAAUCCAAACCCUAAAUCCCCAAAUCCAAUUUCCGACCGAAUCUCUCCCUCUCUGGCGAACUCGUGCUCCGUGAAGGUAAACCCAUCACUCCUCUCUCGUUUUCACUCCUCUUUGAGCGUUGAUUUCCCUAAAUACAACCUUAAUCUGAUUUUCUUAUCUUUUGUAUUUCUGGGUUUUGGUCAAAGUUUUUCGACGACCUCGUCAACUUCUAGGGAGUCCUAUCGUGUUCUAAUGGAGCCGAAGUACGUUUAAGUGGCGUUGUGGAAGUAGCGAGCGGUUCUGGGUUGAGGCAGUGGCUUUCUAGCGAGUGGAGGAUCUAUGUUCUUAUGUUGAUUCUCCGAUUUGGUCUUGGUUAAGCAAGGAGGAGGUUCAGACUUUGUCUGGUUCAUUGAUUUGGAGAAACAGAUGGUAAGUCUCGACCUCUCUUGUUGUUGUGGAAUUACUAUGUUGGUUGUUCUGCGUUGAGUUGUUGAAUUGUUGGUUUUGGAUUUCACUUUGGUACCAUGGUGGAUUUGGAAUUGAAGCAGCGAAGCAAAGCUACUAUGUUGGUUCAUAAGGGUAAGGAUUUCCCUUGUUUUGUUGCAGUGUCGUUGUUUUUUAGUUUUGUUAUUGAUGCCUGAUUUGAGUGAGUGUUUUGGUUGCUUGUAUAGUUGUAUGUCGAGAACUUGGUGUUUUGAAGAAUACAGGGAGGUUAUGGCCCGUGUGCUCUUGCCAUUUCCUUACCUUUGUCUUGUGUGCUAGGAGUUUAGGACUCCUUUAUUCCAUGAUUGCCUCAACAAUCAGUGAGUUAUUCUUGUUUUUAUGUAUCAACUUGUUUCUGGUAUGCCUUCCUAAUUCUCACAGUGAUAAUUGUGGGUUCAACAUUAGCCUCUGAGUUAUAAAAUUCAUAUUAUAAGUUGAGUACUUAUACAAUUUUAAUGAUCCUGAAUAACUGCUUUUGUGUUAGAGGUUAUUCAUAUAUAGUUAUUUACAGUUCUGAAAUGUGAUGCUUGUAGUUGCAAAGCAAGUUCCAAGACUGUCAUGGAAACUACAAUAAUAUAGAUUAGGAAUUUAAGUGCUAUGAGGACAAAAGCAGGUGCUUUCAAUUGCUAUCAUAAGGAGCAUCCUACUCAAACUAAACACUACUGACUUGAUAGAUUUGUUGUAGGUCGCUAACUUGUCAUGUUUUUUACUUUCUUAAUACAAAAUGAAAUAGUGAUAUAUAUGGUUUUAGGUUUUAGCUAGCUAUAGAUCACUUUCUUUUCUGUACAGUCUUUGAUGUCAAGUUACACUGCAUAUUGAGGUUGAUGCAUGCAUCUUAAUUGUUAAAAAUUUUGCUUUUCCGUUUAAAUUGAUAUAAAUUAUGUUAAGCUGAUAUGUGAUUGUUUCAACUGUGUGCAGGGUGUACCAUGGCACAGCUGAACCCAAGAUAUAUGAACGGAAACUACUGUCAUGGAUGAGUUUGAAGGUGAAAGGGAGUUGAGGAAGAGCAUUGUGGAACAUAUAAAUAUGAUCAAGAUACUACACUCUUUUUUUUGGGGUCAUAAUAGAAGUGUUAGGUUUAGAGUUUAAACUUUUGCAACUGAGGGAUACAAUGUAUUUUGAUGGAUAUUGAUGCAAUGAAAAGUUUGAUGGUUCAUUAGGUAACAAUCUCAAGAACAACUCUUCAGAAUGUCUACUUCUAUAUGACCAAGCGUGUCAUGAAACUAGUAAAUGGUGCACAUUAAACUGGGACAUUGAGCAGACUUGCAUACAAGAGCAGUAAUACUCUAAAAAACAACACUCUCAAAUGUGUUCUUUUCAUAUGGAAGACGGUGACUUAUGCAUGCCGAAGUCUACUUGUACAAGGGUGACUUAUGCAUGCCGAAGUGUACUUGUACAUGAGAAACGCUAAGACAAUUAGUAGACAAUUGUCAACGUAAAGUUAGACCUGGUUCAUGAGACGCUAAGACAAUUAAUAGACAAUUGUCAACAAAAAAGUAGACCUUUACUCGUAAAUAAGCAAACUAGGCUUCGUAAAUAAGCAAACUAGGUUUCGUAAACAGGUAGACCUCUCAAGAAUUCUUCAAGUGUCUGUGAAUUCUGGACACUUUAGAGUUGAUCUACUUAUAGUGUGAGUCAACGAAUCGAAAACCUAGUACACCAUGUUCACAAAACAGGUAGGUUGUUGUUCGUAAACAGGUAGACCAUUUUGUCUCACAAAAAAGGUAGACCCUUGCUCGUAAAUAAGCAGACCAGGCUUCGUAAACAAAUAGACCUCUCAAGACUUCUUCAAGUCUGUGAAUUCUGCACACUUUAGAGUUGGUUUACUCGUAGUGUAAGUCAAUAGAGUCAAUGAUUCGAAAACCUAGUACACUAUGUUCACCAAACAGGUAGGUUGUUGUUCGUAAACAGGUAGACCAUUUUGUCUCACAAUAAAAAUAGACCCUAGAUCGUAAAUAAGCAGACCAGGCUUCGUAAACAGGUAAACCUCUCAAGAAUUCUUCAAGUGUCUGUGAAUUCUACACAAUUUAGAAUUGGUCUACUCGUAGUGUGAGUCAAUGAUUCGAAAAUCUAGUACACCAUGUUCACAAAAGAUGUAGGUUGUUCUUCGUAAACAGGUAGAUCAUUUUGUCUCACAAAAAAAGUAGACUCUUGGUGGUAAAUAAGCAGACCAGGCUUCG